GCUACACAUGCAGUCGAGCGGGAAGGUAGCUUGCUACUGGACCUAGCGGCGGACGGGUGAGUAAUACUUAGGAAUCUGCCUAUUAGUGGGGGACAACGUUCCGAAAGGAGCGCUAAUACCGCAUACGCCCUACGGGGGAAAGCAGGGGAUCACUUGUGACCUUGCGCUAAUAGAUGAGCCUAAGUCGGAUUAGCUAGUUGGUGGGGUAAAGGCCUACCAAGGCGACGAUCUGUAGCGGGUCUGAGAGGAUGAUCCGCCACACUGGGACUGAGACACGGCCCAGACUCCUACGGGAGGCAGCAGUGGGGAAUAUUGGACAAUGGGGGGAACCCUGAUCCAGCCAUGCCGCGUGUGUGAAGAAGGCCUUUUGGUUGUAAAGCACUUUAAGCGAGGAGGAGAGGCCCUAGGUUAAUACCCUAGGUGCUUGGACGUUACUCGCAGAAUAAGCACCGGCUAACUCUGUGCCAGCAGCCGCGGUAAUACAGAGGGUGCGAGCGUUAAUCGGAUUUACUGGCGUAAAGCGUGCGUAGGCGGCCAUUUAAGUCGGAUGUGAAUCCCGAGCUCAACUUGGGAUUGCAUUCGAUACUGGGUGGCUAGAGUAUAG
rnacentral:rRNA from 1 species